UUUUCGCAUGAGGGAUAGGAGUGGAAAUCCUUUUUAUUCCCGUAGCGAUAGCGAAGGUAAUAAAAAGAUUGCAACGGAUAGCCCGACCCGCU
rnacentral:sRNA from 1 species